AUGGAGAGAAAUAAGAGUUUGAAGCUUACCGAUCAGAAAAUCUCCGAUGGCGCUUCAAAACUGUCAGAAAUCCUUCGACUCAGAUCCUGGCCCUCAGAUUUGAGAAGUUUGUUACAGAUUAAUGGUGAAGAUGAGUUCAAAUUAGAGCUUGCAAAUUCUGUUAUGGUCCGUUUUGUUUACUUGGAUAAGUUUGAAGAGUUUUAG